rnacentral:rRNA from 1 species
AUAAGCAAUUAUACAGCGAAACUGCGAAUGGCUCAUUAUAUAAGUUAUCGUUUAUUUGAUAGUACCUUACUACUUGGAUAACCGUGGUAAUUCUAGAGCUAAUACAUGCUAAAAAUCCCGACUUUGGAAGGGAUGUAUUUAUUAGAUUAAAAACCAAUGCCCUCCGGGGCUCCUUGGUGAUUCAUGAUAACUCCUCGAAUCGCAUGGCCUUGCGCCGGCGAUGGUUCAUUCAAAUUUCUUCCCUAUCAACUUUCGAUGUUUGGGUAUUGGCCAAACAUGGUUGCAACGGGUAACGGAGGGUUAGGGCUCGACCCCGGAGAAGGAGCCUGAGAAACGGCUACUACAUCCAAGGAAGGCAGCAGGCGCGCAAAUUACCCAAUCCCGACUCGGGGAGGUAGUGACAAUAAAUACUGAUACAGGGCUCUUUUGGGUCUUGUAAUUGGAAUGAGUACAAUUUAAAUCCCUUAACGAGGAACAAUUGGAGGGCAAGUCUGGUGCCAGCAGCCGCGGUAAUUCCAGCU